GAGAAACCUGCCCCGGAGACUGGGACAACCAUUGGAAACGAUGGCUAAUACCGGAUGUCCUCAGAUGGUCGCAUGACCGACUGAGGAAAUGCUCUGGCGCUCUGGGAGGGUCUCGCGGCCUAUCAGUUAGUUGGUGGGGUAACGGCCCACCAAGACAUCGACGGGUAGCUGGUCUGAGAGGACGAUCAGCCACACUGGGACUGAGACACGGCCCAG
rnacentral:rRNA from 1 species